UGUCAGGGUUCCUGGAAGCAUUGCUGAUA
rnacentral:piRNA from 1 species